UCCCCGGUACUUGUCAGAAAGGACAGAGU
rnacentral:piRNA from 1 species